GACGAACGCUGGCGGCGUACUUAACACAUGCAAGUCGAACGGAAAGGCCCCUUUGGGGGUACUCGAGUGGCGAACGGGUGAGUAACACGUGAGUAAUCUGCCCUUGACUUCGGGAUAACUUCAGGAAACUGGGGCUAAUACCGGAUAGGAAUCCUUGCUGCAUGGUGGGGGUUGGAAAGCUUCGGCGGUUUUGGAUGGACUCGCGGCUUAUCAGCUUGUUGGUGGGGUAGUGGCUUACCAAGGCUUUGACGGGUAGCCGGCCUGAGAGGGCGACCGGCCACAUUGGGACUGAGAUACGGCCCAGACUCCUACGGGAGGCAGCAGUGGGGAAUAUUGCACAAUGGGCGGAAGCCUGAUGCAGCAACGCCGCGUGCGGGAUGACGGCCUUCGGGUUGUAAACCGCUUUCAGCAGGGGCGAAGCUUGUGGUGACGGUACCUGCAGAAGAAGCACCGGCUAACUACGUG
rnacentral:rRNA from 1 species